AAGCGUUUAUCACCAGACUUUUUCUAGGGGGAUCAUCCGGUGUUCUCACCGGUGCACUUCCCCUAGUUGAGGCCAGCAUCGGUUUUCGGAGGGGGAUAAAAGCUUCGGGAAUGUGACUCCCUCGGGAGUGUUAUAGCCCGUUGCAUAAUACCCUUCUGGGGACCGAGGUUCGCGCAUCUGCAAGGAUGCUGGCAUAAUGGUGAUCAACGA
rnacentral:rRNA from 1 species